rnacentral:rRNA from 1 species
UACAUGGGGUGCAAACGUUGCUCGGAAUUAUUGGGCGUAAAGCGCGCGUAGGCGGUUACUUAAGUCGGAUGUGAAAGCCCUCGGCUUAACUGAGGAAGUGCACCCGAAACUGAGUAGCUGGAGUACGAAAGAGGGUCGCGGAAUUCCCGGUGUAGAGGUGAAAUUCGUAGAUAUCGGGGAGGAACACCGGUGGCGAAGGCGGCGACCUGGGUCGAGACUGACGCUGAGGCGCGAAAGCGUGGGGAGCAAACAGG